rnacentral:rRNA from 1 species
AAGGGAGCAAUCCUGAGUAAAGUGGCGUACGGGUGAGUAACACGUGGAUCAUCUACCUUUUAGUGGGGAAUACCUCCUGGAAACGGGAGACAAUACCGCAUAAGCUCGUAAGAGGAAAGCCGAAAGGCGCUGAAAGAGGAGUCCGCGGCUGAUUAGCUAGAUGGCGGGGUAACGGCCCACCAUGGCGAAGAUCGGUAGCCGGCCUGAGAGGGCACACGGCCACACUGGCACUGAAACACGGGCCAGACUCCUACGGGAGGCAGCAGUGGGGAAUCUUGCACAAUGGGGGAAACCCUGAUGCAGCGACGCCGCGUGAGCGAUGAAGCCCUUCGGG